rnacentral:lncRNA from 1 species
AGCGCCCGGCGUUAUUGGCCUAUAUAGUUAUAUAUAAGACAAUAACAAUAGAAUUCCUAGUUGUUGUCUUUGACUUCUCGUAGUUGCAUGGCGGUCGAAUCUACAGCCAUGGUAAUUGCUCAUACUCGCCUAUCAGUUAAUUAUUCUUUACCUUUUAGCUCUUAUCAUAAUUGAUUCAUUUUCCUCGCGAAGUGCUGUUCAUCUUGAUACUUUUCGGUCACUUUGACAUAUCCCUUUUUGGGGAAAAACAAGUGUUUGGUUCGUCACUAUCGGGUUCGUUUGCGCGGUGUAAUCGGUAUUCGGUGCCUUUCAAAAUGUGUCGGGAGUUCGAUCUCCAGAAACCAGUCGUUGGAUACCUAAUAGGAUUAGCAAUAUCCUCCCUGGUCCUCUUAUGCCGGACGGAGGCUUUGCCGCAGGCUCAGUCCGCCGAAGACAUAAAAAAAGUCGGAAACACGGUGACUGAGAUCGCCUCCGCGAGUGGGACGAAGCCGACACUGACCAAGUAUCAAGUGCUCCACCCGGGCAAAGGUGACAAUGUUGGCGGAUACACGAGCUUUGACGCAGAUGGCGGCUAUGAGGAUGACAACGAAGAUCGAGGAGGCGGCCACUAUGCUCAACCCUUCGCGGGCUACCACCAUGGACAUGGGGGUGGCGGCGGCGGAGGAGGCGGUGGAGGUCACCACGGCGAGCACCUCCACAAAGGAGAGGUAAUCCACAAACACAUCCACGAAGGGCGCGUCGAUCACAUCCACAAGCACGUCGGUCACGGAGAACACGACCACAAGCACCACGGUCACCAUGGCCACGACCACAAGCACCAUGGACAUCAUGGUCACGACCACAAACAUGCCGGACACCACGGACACGACCACAAACACAGCGGUCACCACGGACACGAUCACAAGCACCAUGGUCACCAUGCCCACGACCACAAGCAUCACGGAUCCGCUGGUCAUCAUCACAAGCACGAAGGUCAUCACGGACACGGACACAAGCACCAUGGACAGCACGGACAUCACCACUCGCACGAGGGUCAUCACGGACACAGCCACAAACAUCACGGACACGCGGAGCACGAUCACAAACAUCACGGUCAAGCCGGGCAUCACCACAAACAUCACGGGACGGCCGGACACUCGCACAAACAUGCGCUGCAUGGUCAGCACAACCACCACCACGCUGGACACGCUGCCCACGAUCACAAGCAUCAAGGUCAAGCUCACCACGGUCACGGACACAGUGGACAUCUUGGACAUGGCCACAAGCAUCACGGAUCUCAUGGUCAUCACCACAAGCAUCAGGGACAUCAUGCCCAUGGCCACAAACACAGCGGUCAUCUGGCUCAUGGUCAUCACCAUGGUGUGCAUGGCGGCGGCGGCGGUGGUGGACAUCACGGACACUACUCGCGACUCACUGAGGGUGCCACCGACAGACAAGACGAAAAGACGCCACCAGCGGAAGGACUUAGUAAAUUCUACGAUGGCGCAGCUGCUGAUGCCAAAGACCCUUUUGAAUUAGAUCUUUCAAUAUUUGAUAAACAUGAGGUGGCGCAGUAUAGUUGAAGAUAGGAGCCAAAGCUCCAUUGCAAGGCCAUAGACACGAGGUUAGCUGACGGUUCUCACUGCGUCCAGCUAGUCAUUUAAUAAUUGCUUCAAUAAUACAAUAUCUCCGUAUCAGCUGAUCAAUUUUAACGGAUCAUUAGGCAAAUACAAUAUCUUUGAAAAAGUAUCAUAUUCGAGUGAAUGCGAAGGAGUAUAAUGAUGAAUCAAGCGAGAUUAACUUUAUGGAAAGACUUGAUCUGUGAUUUAAUUGUGAAUUACGUUACCGUUUUUGUACCUUUCUCCAAUUUUGUCUUAUUUAGUGUAUUGUUAAAUUCUAAUUGUUGUCAAAUAGGUCUAGUUUAAGUAGUUAAGGUUUUACUCUAAGUUUAUUUAAGUAUUCUUACUUUUGUACUUUCAUAUCGUCGAAAAAACUUACUCUCGAAAAAGUCUUGUAGGUAUGUUUAAAUACUGCGCACAAAAAUGUCACUUGUAAAAACAUCAUGAUUAUAGAAAACAAGUUAAACUUGUAACUCUUUCGUUUUAUUUACACAUCGAUGAACCGUUUGAGGAGUUGAAACGUGAUUGUUUCUGAAACGAUCGCACUCAUUCGCUCGAAUUAACACUGCACCUUUCUUAGACAUAUUGCACGUAAAAAAUAAAAACAUUUAUCUUCAUGAUGAUCAACAUUAUCAUAAAAUUAAAUGAAAGCAAUUACUGGAACUUUUUACCUCUAAAACUUUGGUUACAGAUGAGAUAAACCUCGAUUAGAUACAUAUAGGGGCUGACACGCUGAGAGCUGUAUAAUCAACCAAUAACAGAGGAUGAUUUGAUGAGUAUCACAUGAAGCUCAGUAACAUUUUAAAAAAAUAUAGCCUUAAAUUAUUCGCCUAUUGUGUCAAAGACCCUUGGCCAAAUCAGGAAGUUUGUCAAAUGCUUGGCAAAUCGUCAAUUUUAUCUACAAAUUCUCAAAUUUUCAAUAACUUAAACGUAAACAUGGACGGAAGCACAAUUAUAUUGAGUUUUACUGAUCAAUUUUAAGAAGCAAAAUUGUAAAAAAUAGAAUUUUAUCGAACACUGCAAAGUUUACAAAACAAAAAUGUUGCUGAAAGCAUUAGAGAUAAUACAUAUCGACGAACUUUCAGAACACGUAUCUCGUUUGCGUUGUCUAAAAAUCCCCGCUCCCAUUUUAGUUUUUUAAGGAGAAAAAAUCAAUAUCGGUAGUUCCUUGAAGUUUUCACAGACUUUUGUUCCCGCAUAGAGGAAAAAUCACAUUUUGAAGAAUUGACUUAAGGCCUUGUCCACACGAGCGCGGUUCGCGGAACUUAGUUCGAGGAACUUGUUCCAAAGAAACCAACCCUUAUAAAGUUGAAGAAAAAGAGGUUUGAAGUUUUAUUUCUCCAAAAGGCUCAAUGUAGAAAAUGAACUUGAACCCCUUCUUAGCACAGACAAAUUUUUUUCCUAAACUUGGAGUUUUUGGCAGGGGAAUAUAUAUACG